AAUGUGCUCUACUGCACACUACUUAGUGAUGCUCAGCCAUCGGUAUAUAUUCAGUAUGGUUUAAUCCUGAACAGGGUUUUGAUCAAGAUUCUAUCUGGAAUUGAAGAGCAUAUUUUGUUCUUUUCUAACUAAGAUUGAGAUGUACCUCUAAUAGUAAAGUGGAUUAAAUGAGACUUCUCUAGCACAGGACUUCUACAGCCUUUACUCUAUGGAGCCAGUCAGCUUUAAUAAAGGAGUUACAGCAACAGCUUCGAGUUCCUGAGAUGGCAGCAGUUACAAUGCUGAUAGUGAGCAGCUUUCCCAAGGCUAGUUACAGCUGAAAUAACGAAGAAAGUCUAGCAAGAGAGCAACAUCUUUUGGAACCUUCUAGAAUGAUAGCUACUACAGGUGUGACCAAAAAGCCAAUAGGUCUAGCAAUGAGACCUGAAAGCAGGGGCCCUAAGUAUAGGUAAGGUGUGAUUUCAUUCUAGUCUAACCAAUUGAAAGCAGCAUCUUCAGUUGGGUUUACUAACUGGAUCUCAAUUCACAGGUGGCAAUUUGUGACCGAGGAUUUGAGUGUCCAACUGCGUGGUUCUAAAAUCUAAGCAAGACUUUCAAAAGUGAGAAUUUCGUUAAGUGCAUUUGGACACAACAAAGUUGAUCGUGCACUUGGUGAUUGAGAGAGCUAGUCGGGACAAACCAGAAAGAUUAAUGCAUUUGUUUGAAGAACAUGAGACUACAGCAACUGGAAAACCUUCACAGCAUUUUACAAAUGUUCCUAAAUAUUAAAUCAAUACACCCUCUAUCACUUGAUUUAAGCAAUGUGGACAACCACACUCGCCUCACACCAGACAUUAAGUUGUUGCGUUUUUUUUUUGUUGCAGUUUCCUAUGUAAUUAAGCAUACUGAUUAUUUAUUUAUACAUUUGAUAUACACUCUAGUUUCACUUUUGUCAGUGUUGCUUGAAAUCAAUUUCCCCUCCCAUACUUCAUUUCAUUCUGGACAAACCUGUACUUGGUUUACUUUUUGAACACUCCUUUAAUUUGCAUAUUACCCUGUUUCCCUGUCAUCUUCCUAUUGUGUUGUCAUUUUGCCAUACCUGUUACUAUGGCAUUUUUUUCCUCUCCUUUUUCUGUUGAAUGUAUAUGUAUCAUUAAGUUUUUGUUACUAAGCAUUUAGCAUAGUACUGUAAUUCUUUUGGAUGUUCCUGAGGUACACUCCUCUAGGAAAUCUUUUUAUUUUUAUUUAAUAAAUUAAUCAAAGGUGAAGUGUGGCUUAUUUUAUUAGUGCUUUAGGACAUUAUGUGGAGAAAUGCAAACAUUCACGCCAUACAUUUCACCAUAUUUAAUUUUUGUGUUGGAUAUUGGCUUAAUGUAAGUUUGACUACAGGAUUUAUUAAUUUAGGAGAAAAACCACAGGGCGAAACCCUUGG